rnacentral:rRNA from 1 species
UACGUAGGGGGCAAGCGUUGUCCGGAUUUACUGGGUGUAAAGGGCGCGCAGGCGGGAUAAAAAGUCAGUGGUGAAAUCCUACAGCUUAACUGUAGAACUGCCUUUGAUACUUUUAUUCUUGAGUUCGGGAGAGAGAGACGGAAUUCCAGGUAUAGUGGUGAAAUACGUAGAUAUCUGGAAGAACACCAGUUGCGAAGGCGGUCUCUUGGUCCGAUACUGACGCUGCGGCGCGAAAGCGUGGGGAGCAAACAGG